AGAUUGCUUAACAGUGUGUAGACUCAAAUCGCAACCGUACAGAGAAGAUUAGCAUGGCCCCUGCACAAGGAUAACAUGCAAAUUUUUCCCAUAUUUUU
ensembl:snRNA U6 U6 spliceosomal RNA